rnacentral:rRNA from 1 species
GAUGAACGCUGGCGGCGUGCCUAAUACAUGCAAGUCGAGCGAACAGACGAGGAGCUUGCUCCUCUGACGUUAGCGGCGGACGGGUGAGUAACACGUGGAUAACCUACCUAUAAGACUGGGAUAACUUCGGGAAACCGGAGCUAAUACCGGAUAAUAUAUUGAACCGCAUGGUUCAAUAGUGAAAGACGGUUUUGCUGUCACUUAUAGAUGGAUCCGCGCCGCAUUAGCUAGUCGGUAAGGUAACGGCUUACCAAGGCAACGAUGCGUAGCCGACCUGAGAGGGUGAUCGGCCACACUGGAACUGAGACACGGUCCAGACUCCUACGGGAGGCAGCAGUAGGGAAUCUUCCGCAAUGGGCGAAAGCUUGACGGAGCAACGCCGCGUGAGUGAUGAAGGUCUUCGGAUCGUAAAACUCUGUUAUUAGGGAAGAACAAAUGUGUAAGUAACUAUGCACGUCUUGACGGUACCUAAUCAGAAAGCCACGGCUAACUACGUG